GAGUAGAAUGUCAAGACAAGGGCAGCUCAUCUGUUGAAGUAUCCUAAUGCGAAGAUGCUAUGGAUCGGUGACCCUACAUAGCUCAGCACUGCGACAUGGCAGAGGAAAACUUUGUUUAUUUACUAUGAGCAUCAAGACAUAAAGAUUGUGCAUCUACAUGACGAGCUGUAUCAGGGGUGCUGCAAGGAAAUAUUUUGAGGGGAAUGUUACUACGAACGUAGCAUGUACACUAAAGUCCUUAUCAAUGCAUACAAUUGCUAUAUUGAUAUGAUGUGCACUCUAUUAGGAGUGGAUUCAUUUUGAUCCCAAAAUGGCCAAAAUGGACGCUAAGAUUGCUGAGAUGAAUCCGAUGAAUGAGGAUGAGGUUGAUUGGGCUACGGUUUUAUCGAAGUUGGUAUGACAGGAUGUGCUGACAGACUUCUAUGAAACGAUGCAAUUCUUCUAUGUGCCUCAAUGAUGAUUUGUAUAGUUAUAUUUGUUGUCUUUUGUUAUAAGUUUUUUCAAUGGAAGCAUGAUCCACACAUGUGGGCAGUUUAACUUAACAUUUUCAAACCUUUUAAUGAACACUGUAUAUUGGAGUAUUUUCAAAAACAAAAUGCAUUACCAUAA